UAUCAUCAAACACCAUACAGCUAUGGAAAUUGGAUUUUGCUAUCAAUGCUUUUGUUCCAUAUGUUGAAUUUCAAAACAAGAUGAAUAUGCUUUAGUUUUAUACCAAGAGCUGUGUAUUCCUUCAAGUUUACGUAAUGUAUCACAUACUUUUCUUUCGGGAAGAGGGUGGUCGCUAAUUUAGUAUGUUUGCUCUCUGGACGGGUGAAAUAUUCGGGACAGAGCGGAACAUCUUUAUAUAGUUCAUGCAAUUCUUGACGAUAUUCCAAAUCGACUUCAAGAAUAUAUCCGACUGGAGAAUCAUCUGCAGCAAUUAAAAUAUCUACAGAACCAGUUGCAGCCCAUUCAAAUGAAUCACAUGGCAAACUGAUACUCAUAGCGGCCCCAUAAACAUUGUUCACAUCAUAAUACAUCAAAUAUGAUGUUUCUGACGAGCGAUCAUAACAUUUCUCACCAGGACGAUUCCCCCACCAUGCGAGUCGAUGACUCAUCCAUGACGUCAUCCUUCUCCUAGUGCCGUGGUAAGACAGUGCCACUCGUUCUAUCACUGUACGUUGUGAGGUUUAACCAUGAAGAAUAGAGACCAGGAGGCCGAAGAUGAAGAAUAGAGACCAGGAGGCCGAACUAGCGUUUUCCGAUCCGAGACCAUACUCGGGGUAAUGAAGUGUUAUAGGUGGUGCUUCAAUCGCUUUUCAGUAGUGGGGGAAUGCUGCCUGUGUAGUGUGUAGGUGUAUGAAAAUAACGUACUGAAUAAUUCCUGGCCUUAAAAUGUUUAUUCAUGUUUAUACGAACUACUUUGAUGAGUGAUUGAAUAUCGCGAAAAUUUGAUUACAUAUAGGCAAUGACUUCCACGGAAGGGGGAAGCAUUUUCUGUACAAGUCAACUAUAAAAACUGAGAUGUCUGACGUAUUUCUAGUUGGAGUCUGGAGAGGUCACUAGAAUGUCAGUCAGUGAUAUCAGUCAGUCAGUCAGUCUAAUGAUAUCAAUCAAAAAGAGAUCUAUCAUGACCAGGAGCAUAAUUGAAUCGACAUCAAUCGCCUAGGAUUUCGGGUGAUUUCUACAAUUGUACAUAAAAUUAUUUAUGAAUGAUAAAUUAAUUGCAAAUAGUGAAUUUGAUGAUUAAUUGUAUAUAAUAUCUGAGAUUUAAUUGUAUAUUAAAAUUUUACAAACCAUUA